rnacentral:rRNA from 1 species
GACGAACGCUGGCGGCGUGCUUAACACAUGCAAGUCGAACGAAGUGGCGAACGGGUGAGUAACGCGUAAUCAACCUGCCCUUCAGAGGGGGACAACAGUUGGAAACGACUGCUAAUACCGCAUACUGAAGGAGGGGAUUGCGUCUGAUUAGCUAGUUGGAGGGGUAACGGCCCACCAAGGCGAUGAUCAGUAGCCGGUCUGAGAGGAGGAACGGCCACAUUGGGACUGAGACACGGCCCAGACUCCUACGGGAGGCAGAAGUGGGGAAUGUUCGACAAUGGGCGAAAGCCUGACGGAGCAAUGCCGCGUGGUUGAAGAAGGCCUUCGGGUUGUAAAGGACUUUUAUCAGGGAAGCGGUACCUGAAUAGAAAGCCACGGCUAACUACGUGCCAGCCGCCGCGGUAAUAC